rnacentral:rRNA from 1 species
ACGCUGGCGGCAGGCCUAACACAUGCAAGUCGAGCGGUAGAGAGAAGCUUGCUUCUCUUGAGAGCGGCGGACGGGUGAGUAAUGCCUAGGAAUCUGCCUGGUAGUGGGGGAUAACGUUCGGAAACGGACGCUAAUACCGCAUACGUCCUACGGGAGAAAGCAGGGGACCUUCGGGCCUUGCGCUAUCAGAUGAGCCUAGGUCGGAUUAGCUAGUUGGUGGGGUAAUGGCUCACCAAGGCGACGAUCCGUAACUGGUCUGAGAGGAUGAUCAGUCACACUGGAACUGAGACACGGUCCAGACUCCUACGGGAGGCAGCAGUGGGGAAUAUUGGACAAUGGGCGAAAGCCUGAUCCAGCCAUGCCGCGUGUGUGAAGAAGGUCUUCGGAUUGUAAAGCACUUUAAGUUGGGAGGAAGGGUUGUAGAUUAAUACUCUGCAAUUUUGACGUUACCGACAGAAUAAGCACCGGCUAACUCUGUGCCAGCAGCCGCGGUAAUACAGAGGGUGCAAGCGUUAAUCGGAAUUACUGGGCGUAAAGCGCGCGUAGGUGGUUUGUUAAGUUGGAUGUGAAAUCCCCGGGCUCAACCUGGGAACUGCGUUCAAAACUGACUGACUAGAGUAUGGUAGAGGGUGGUGGAAUUUCCUGUGUAGCGGUGAAAUGCGUAGAUAUAGGAAGGAACACCAGUGGCGAAGGCGACCACCUGGACUAAUACUGACACUGAGGUGCGAAAGCGUGGGGAGCAAAC